rnacentral:sRNA from 1 species
CAACGUGUCGUCUUCGUAACAGAUUACGU